CCCCAGACUCCUACGGGAGGCAGCAGUGGGGAAUAUUGCACAAUGGGGGAAACCCUGAUGCAGCGACGCCGCGUGAGCGAUGAAGUAUUUCGGUAUGUAAAGCUCUCUCAGCAGGGAAGAAGAUGACGGUACCUGACUAAGAAGCCCCGGCUAACUACGUGCCAGCAGCCGCGGUAAUACGUAGGGGGCAAGCGUUAUCCGGAUUUACUGGGUGUAAAGGGAGCGUAGACGGUGAGACAAGUCUGAAGUGAAAGCCCGGGGCUCAACCCCGGGACUGCUUUGGAAACUGCCUGACUGGAGUGCUGGAGAGGCAAGCGGAAUUCCUAGUGUAGCGGUGAAAUGCGUAGAUAUUAGGAAGAACACCAGUGGCGAAGGCGGCUUGCUGGACAGUAACUGACGUUGAGGCUCGAAUGCGUGGGGAGCAAACAGGAUUAGAUACCCUUGUA
rnacentral:rRNA from 1 species